rnacentral:tRNA from 1 species
GCGUUCGUGGUGUAGUGGUCAGCACACUCGGUGCUUAUUCGAGAGGUCCGUGGUUCGAGUCCCGGCGAGACCA